CUGUUGGGUAGGGGAGCGUUGUGUAAGCGGAAGAAGGUUCAUCGAGAGGUGGGCUGGACGUAUCACAAGUGCGAAUGCUGACAUAAGUAACGAUAAAACGGGUGAAAAACCCGUUCGCCGGAAGACCAAGGGUUCCUGUCCAACGUUAAUCGGGGCAGGGUGAGUCGGCUCCUAAGGCGAGGCUGAAAAGCGUAGUCGAUGGGAAACAGGUUAAUAUUCCUGUACUUGGUAAAGCUGCGAUGUGGGGACGGAGUAGGUUAGGUUAUCGCACUGUUGGAUAUGUGCGUUUAAGUUGGUAGGUGGGAAGUUUAGGCAAAUCCGGACUUCCUUAACACAGAGAGAUGAUGACGAGGCUCUACGGAGCUGAAGUAACUGAUACCACACUUCCAGGAAAAGCCACUAAGCGAAAGGCUUUACUAAACCGUACUGAAAACCGACACAGGUGGUCAGGUAGAGAAUACUCAGGCGCUUGAGAGAACUCGGGUGAAGGAACUAGGCAAAAUAGCACCGUAACUUCGGGAGAAGGUGCGCCGGCGUAGAUUGUAAGGGCUAGCCCCUGAAGGUUGAACCGGUCGAAGAUACCAGCUGGCUGCAACUGUUUAUUAAAAACACAGCACUCUGCAAACACGAAAGUGGACGUAUAGGGUGUGAUGCCUGCCCGGUGCUGGAAGGUUAAUUGAUGGUGUCAUCGAAAGAGAAGCACCUGAUCGAAGCCCCAGUAAACGGCGGCCGUAACUAUAACGGUCCUAAGGUAGCGAAAUUCCUUGUCGGGUAAGUUCCGACCUGCACGAAUGGCAUAAUGAUGGCCAGGCUGUCUCCACCCGAGACUCAGUGAAAUUGAAAUCGCCGUGAAGAUGCGGUGUACCCGCGGCUAGACGGAAAGACCCCGUGAACCUUUACUAUAGCUUGACACUGAACAUUGAAUUUUGAUGUGUAGGAUAGGUGGGAGACUUAGAAGUAGUAACGCCAGUUUCUAUGGAGUCAUCCUUGAAAUACCACCCUUUAACGUUUGAUGUUCUAACGAAGACUACGGAACGUGGUCUCGGACAGUGUCUGGUGGGUAGUUUGACUGGGGCGGUCUCCUCCCAAAGCGUAACGGAGGAGCACGAAGGUUUGCUAAUCACGGUCGGACAUCGUGAGGUUAGUGCAAUGGUAUAAGCAAGCUUAACUGCGAGACAGACAAGUCGAGCAGGUACGAAAGUAGGUCAUAGUGAUCCGGUGGUUCUGAAUGGAAGGGCCAUCGCUCAACGGAUAAAAGGUACUCCGGGGAUAACAGGCUGAUACCGCCCAAGAGUUCAUAUCGACGGCGGUGUUUGGCACCUCGAUGUCGGCUCAUCACAUCCUGGGGCUGAAGUAGGUCCCAAGGGUAUGGCUGUUCGCCAUUUAAAGUGGUACGCGAGCUGGGUUUAGAACGUCGUGAGACAGUUCGGUCCCUAUCUGCCGUGGGCGU
rnacentral:rRNA from 1 species